GACGAACGCUGGCGGCGUGCUUAACACAUGCAAGUCGAACGGAAAGGCCCUGCUUUUGUGGGGUGCUCGAGUGGCGAACGGGUGAGUAACACGUGAGUAACCUGCCCUUGACUUUGGGAUAACUUCAGGAAACUGGGGCUAAUACCGGAUAGGAGCUCCUGCUGCAUGGCGGGGGUUGGAAAGUUUCGGCGGUUGGGGAUCGACUCGCGGCUUAUCAGCUUGUUGGUGGGGUAGUGGCUUACCAAGGCUUUGACGGGUAGCCGGCCUGAGAGGGUGACCGGCCACAUUGGGACUGAGAUACGGCCCAGACUCCUACGGGAGGCAGCAGUGGGGAAUAUUGCACAAUGGGCGGAAGCCUGAUGCAGCAACGCCGCGUGCGGGAUGACGGCCUUCGGGUUGUAAACCGCUUUCGCCUGUGACGAAGCGUGAGUGACGGUAAUGGGUAAAGAAGCACCGGCUAACUACGUG
rnacentral:rRNA from 1 species